rnacentral:rRNA from 1 species
AUUGAACGCUGGCGGCAGGCCUAACACAUGCAAGUCGAGCGGAUGAAGGGAGCUUGCUCCUGGAUUCAGCGGCGGACGGGUGAGUAAUGCCUAGGAAUCUGCCUGGUAGUGGGGGAUAACGUCCGGAAACGGGCGCUAAUACCGCAUACGUCCUGAGGGAGAAAGUGGGGGAUCUUCGGACCUCACGCUAUCAGAUGAGCCUAGGUCGGAUUAGCUAGUUGGUGGGGUAAAGGCCUACCAAGGCGACGAUCCGUAACUGGUCUGAGAGGAUGAUCAGUCACACUGGAACUGAGACAGGGUCCAGACUCCUACGGGAGGCAGCAGUCGGGAAUAUUGGACAAUGGGCGAAAGCCUGAUACAGCCAUGCCGCGUGUGUGAAGAAGGUCUUCGGAUUGUAAAGCACUUUAAGUUGGGAGGAAGGGCAGUAAGUUAAUACCUUGCUGUUUUGACGUUACCAACAGAAUAAGCACCGGCUAACUUCGUG